rnacentral:rRNA from 1 species
GAUGAACGCUGGCGGCGUGCCUAAUACAUGCAAGUCGAGCGAACGGACGAGAAGCUUGCUUCUCCGAUGUUAGCGGCGGACGGGUGAGUAACACGUGGAUAACCUACCUAUAAGACUGGGAUAACUUCGGGAAACCGGAGCUAAUACCGGAUAAUAUUUUGAACCGCAUGGUUCAAAAGUGAAAGACGGUCUUGCUGUCACUUAUAGAUGGAUCCGCGCCGCAUUAGCUAGUUGGUAAGGUAACGGCUUACCAAGGCAACGAUGCAUAGCCGACCUGAGAGGGUGAUCGGCCACACUGGAACUGAGACACGGUCCAGACUCCUACGGGAGGCAGCAGUAGGGAAUCUUCCGCAAUGGGCGAAAGCCUGACGGAGCAACGCCGCGUGAGUGAUGAAGGUCUUCGGAUCGUAAAACUCUGUUAUUAGGGAAGAACAUAUGUGUAAGUAACUGUGCACAUCUUGACGGUACCUAAUCAGAAAGCCACGGCUAACUACGUG